UCAGGUUUUCUAUGGUAAUCUUUGGUUAAUUGUAUAUCUGAGUUUUUGAAACCUUAAUGUUGAUGACUGUGUAAUAUCAUCUGCAUAACAAUAUAUAUUCACUACGUUCACUCUUCAAUUAAAUGAGUUAUGGAUGGAAACGGAUAAAUAAAAUUUGGAAUAGGCAGUCUUGGGAUAUAUCCUCGAUGACCUAAUGAUGCCGGCAGAAACAAAGGCCCGAAAUUGGGCUGUUGAAUCGGAUAAUGCAGUCAAAGCUCUUGUCGAUAUUCAAAGUAUGAUAGAUAUUAUGUCCGAGCGACUUGUUGCACUUCGUGAUUUGCGACUCCAGGAAUUUAUAAAAGAUGAGAUUCGAUUAUUGGAAGGCAAACUCAUCAAACAUUUCUGGAGGCAGCUCACAACCAAAUGCAAAGUUCCAAAAAAACACUGGACAGUUGAUUUUCAGACGUACCCAUCAUUAUCACAAUGGCUUACUGUUGUUGGCAUAAAUAAAGAUGUUAAUGAGAUACUAAUGAGAAACAUAAAAUCGGUGGAAACAUUGUUAGAACUAGGUGAGCAUGAAGUUUCAACAAUUUUGCUUGAGAGCGGAGGUAACUCUGAAGAUAAAAGAAAAUUGUGGACAGCUUUAUGUCAAUUGAAAGAGUUUAAGGACAAUCAAGAUAAUACAGAAGGAGUAUAUUGGGAUUCAUGGUGUAAAGAAUCCGCCGAGGGUUUUCAAAAUGGCCUCAAAAACUCCAUACAAGAUGAGGCUUCUAAUAAUUCACAGCCCAAAGCAGAAGUGGAUCACAAUGAAAAUUUUCGAAGAAUUGAUCAAAAUUGUGCAAACACUUCAACAGAUGAACAAAGACAUGCGAACGAUUCUCGACCCCAACGAAAACAUGAAAUUCUAGUCCAUACAGCCUCUGGAAGGACUACAGCGCCUUCAUGGGCUGAUGCGGAUGGCCAAAUUCAGUCUCCCCCAAGUCCAUCACGAAGCUCCAGAAGUUCUCUAUCGUCGUGUGGUCCACCUUCUCCACCAUAUGGUGCUAAGCUACAUGGUUUUCCUCAAAACGCAUAUGAUGGAGGCACUCGAACUCCCCCUGCGAAUAUGUUUACCCCCUCCUACAUGCGUCAUUACGCUCAAGAUCAUCAAAAUGUCUCAAAAACUCGUUCAGGCCAGUCGUCAUUGACAAACACUCCGCCUCCAGUUCGAGCAACAAAAUCUUCAGAAUCAUCGAUUCCACCUCAAAAUAAAGCCGCAGCAAACUUGCUUCUACCGUUUGGCACUAUGAGGACCGCUCGCUCAUACGAAUGGCAAGUUGGGAACCAUAUAACUAAUGUAGGUGAUGAGAGUUUGACAAAUUCUAAUGUAAGUCUAACCUCAAUCAAUACUUUACCGCCACCAUCUUCAUCUGGAACAUCUGGAUCAAAACUGUUUUCUAGCGGCAAGAAAAGAAGGAAGCACCCAGGAAAUAUAGUAAUUGGAAAUAACGAACCACCUGAUUUUAUUUCUUUGGUUACAGCUAACAGAAGAUCAUCCCAAACUCAUAUAUCUCCUGAGAGUGGUUUAUCAACUUGUCAAAGUGGAUCUCCGAUGUCGCCUAGAACGCCGAUGACACCUGCGACUCCAUUCAACAAUGAGAUGUGGAUGCAGCAACGAGAUUUCUCUCCUGUUGUUCCCCAAACACCUAAGACACCUGGUAAACUCAAGGGUGGAUUUCGUGCAAUCAAAGAUAAAAUUAAGGAUAAAUUUGGAAUGCGAUCCCACAAAUUAAGAAGAAACAAGAGUGAAGAAAGAGUAGCUGAUGAACCUGCUGUCUUUCCAACGCAUCACAAAAUACGUUCGGAUACUUUUCCAACCAUAAAUGCGUCUUCUAUUAUACAAUCUUCUCAUGCGACACUCAGUACAAAUGAUUCUCGACAUAAUUCAACACAUUCUUCCAGUUCUUCUAUUGCUUCAAACCAGCUAAUGAGAAUGCAUAAAGAGUCUGCAUCGUUUGAUGCUGGAGCAGGUCUAUCAUCUGGUAUGACAACACCUGGGGAAGCUUCCAUGUUAUCUGGUCGAGAUUUGAACUUUGGAUUUGAUUCAUACUUCAAAAGUUCAUCGACAAAUUUUACUGGUACUGAUAACACUCUGGUUGCCGAGGAGACAGAGCCUAUUUUGGAUGAAUCAACUGCUCAGCAUGCUCAAGAUUCAACUCAUGAAGAGGACGCAGACUCAAUUGCAGAUCUUGAGGAAGAGUCUGAGGAUAUGAGAGCGAGAGUAAACUUGAUGAGACAAACAAGCACUACCAGCACAAUGCACGAUGAAUGGGAUAUACCAUGGGAUGAACUUGUUCUGGGAGAUUGCAUAGGAAAAGGACGAGUUGGAGCUGUAUAUAGAGGAAAAUGGCAUGCUGAGGUCGCUGUCCGUGUAAUAUACAUCUCUCACGUUGAUGACACAAAACUCAGAGCAUUCAAACAUGAGGUGAUGUUGUAUAAAAAAACAAGACAUGAUAACAUUGAACUGUUUAUGGGAUCAUGCAUGAAUCCACCUCGACUUGCUAUUAUUACCGGAAUAUGUAAAGGAUAUUCACUAUAUCAACUUAUUCGAUCGGCAAAAGAUCAACAGGUUCCUUUGAAUAGAGCCAAAUUUAUUGCACAGCACAUUGCACAGGGAAUGGGAUAUCUUCACUCUAGAGGUAUCAUUCAUAAAGAUUUAAAGACGAAGAAUAUAUUCGUGGAUGGAAAUCGAAUUGUUGUCACUGAUUUUGGGUUGAUGGGGCUUCAUGCUAUUUCAACUAAAUCUAUCAGGAUAAAGCCAUUGACUUUGCAAGUACCUGAUGGUUGGUUAUGCUAUAUGGCUCCUGAAAUCAUCCGAGCAUUAUCUGUUCCUUACAAUGAUAUGGACGUUGUUUCCUCCCUUCCAUAUACAAAAGAAUCUGAUGUCUACGCUUUUGGCACUGUUUGGUAUGAACUUUUAACUGGUUGUUGGCCUUUCAAAGACUAUCCAGCAGAAUCAAUUACAUGGCAGGUUGGAAAUGGAAAAAAACAAAGUCUUGCUCAUUUACAAGGACCGAAAGAGCUUAAGGACAUUCUGAUGACUUGUUGGGCAUAUGAACCUUCACAGCGGCCAGAUUUUUCAGACAAUGGAAUUAUGGGACAAAUAUUACGUUUACCGCAAGCAAAAAUGAUUCGAAGGUCAUCUCAACCCAUUAGGGGCAGACAAGGCGCUGCCGCAAAUCAUAGUCGUGAACGCAUGUUUGACCCCACCCGCAUGUUUGAUCCCACCACAGUGUUGCAUGAGCUAGCAGAGUAAUAUAUCAAUCAAUAUAAGUUUUGUUACUGAUUGACGCUUUCGGUCUAGUUAGCUACUUGUGGAAAGUUGAUCAUAUAUGACAAAGCAGGGCAUGGGUCAUGCGUAAAGCACAUUGGUUAUGGCAUAGCUGAGGGCAAGUUACUCAUUCACAAUGACAAUUUCUAGCAGGUUUAUCUUUUAAAAAAUUUGACAACGAUCAAGAUAUUCGGAUUUAUUCAGGAUUAUUUCAGAAAGUAAUUCUCUUCACUGCCUGCCGAGUUCUCAAUGUGAUGUUACAUUUUUUCAUCUUUAUUUGUUGUUAAUUAUGCCUCUGCCUUCAUCAUUUUUUUUUCAUUGUUUUUGCUUUCAUUUUUGAUCACUUCAAUUCAUUUUCAUUUGUUUAGUAUAUUUCAUUGUGUUGCUACAAUGCAACAUACACAAAGUAUGGACUAAAAAUGGGUCGUGUUCAUAAAAUAUAUGCAAGCGACUUUUAGCUUGGAAUGUGAACAUCUAUUCCUUCCAGUUUUGGAAUAUGCCAUUCAUUCACUCAAAUAUUCUGAUUUCGGUCAACUUUUUUGAGAAAAUUGCAUAUGCUUAAAAAUAUCAUUUUGCUAUUCAAUGAUAAGUUAUGUUCAUAUUGUUAAUAACAGAUUGAGGAAGGUUAACAUUACAAGUUGGAUUCAUUUUUGGUGAUUAUGUUUAAAUUUUGCUAUGAAAAAUUAAGAUUUCCAUCUACACGACUAUUCCUUGGCCCUGGCUAGAUUUGACACAUAAAAAUAACAAUUUUUUUUCUAAUUUUAAAUUUGUAAAUCAACAUCGGUUAGAUAGUUAUUGGUCUUGGUCACUUACAGAUUUUUUUUAUUUGCUGCUUCAGGUGGUAAAAUUAUUUUCAUCAAUUAUAUAGAGAUAAAGAAAUUUUAUCAUUGGUAUACCUCUAAUGAUGCAGACAGAUUAUGCUUCGACAAUCACUUACAAUUUUGUUAAAUGAAAACUUGAUAUUUUUUGAAUAUAUUCAGUAUUACUUCAAGUAUUUAUAUUUGUAACAGGAGUCUAUACCAGAUACUAGGCUUUAACUUAACAAAGAUGUAAAAUGAGUUGUUCAUUUUAGAUAUAUAUUCAUUUUCCCAUAGCGAUUUAUCCUUGAUAUCCUUCUGAAUACACUUUUGCUGAUUUAGUAAAAUACCAGAUUUGUUUCCAGUUAUUAAAAAGAUAUAUUAUAGAUAUUAUUAAAACAGAAAUAGUUUAUAUGUUUAGUUUAACGUAUAUAAUUACAGUCGCUUGCAUGAAAUGCCUUCGGUUGUCUUUUAUAAUGAGAGAGAGAGGGGUUGUGUAUUUUGCCUAUUCGGUCUUCUAAAAUAUGCAUUCACAUUUUUUUUUCUAAUCUUUUUUGACCAAAAUAUAUAUAAGCUUGUAGUCUGCCAAGCAAAUGAAAAGAUUAUUGGUAUUUUUGCAAUGAUAUACCUAAUUAAAAUGCAUUUUACUUGUUCUGUGUCGUCCCAUGGUCGCACAUACUUCAAGAACUAUUGCAUCAUAUGCUUCCCACCAUGUUAUGUGAAUAUAAAGCCUCUGACAUCACAUUUUUCAACCUGGCUGUGAGCACAAUUAUGUUCAUUCCAUCACAACAAAGAGAUUUUCAACUGCAUGGGCCAUAGUGAACCUUCAAUGACUCUAGACGACCUUCCAUAUAGGUAAAUGAAAUGAUAAAAAUUUUUGAUGAAUUUUUUGUUGAAAUGUGCUUCAACAUCCCAGUUGAAUCAUCCAUCUUGAACUGUUAGUCGUAAAUGAGAUGUUUCCAGCAAUCUAAAAAUAGCCAUAUUGCGUUAUGAUUAUCUACAACAGGGGUGCGCAACCUUUGAAAAACAUGAGGGCCAGUUACGAAUUGCAGUUACAGGCACAAAAAUUUGUGUUAUUGAUCUUAUGACUUGCGUUGUGGUUCUUAAAAGCGAGCUGUUGGGGCAUUGUUACGUUAUAGGCAUAGAUAUUAAAUUGGAUUCCGGUAUGGGCUUUGCAACUCAAAGGGAUUGGAAGUACUAGCUCGCACACCAUUCAGAAUUGACGCUUCUCCGCGGGCCGCACAAAUUUUCCAUGUGGGCUGCAGGUUGCACACCCCCAAUCCAACUGACUAGCAAAUUCAACUGACUUGAUUGAUAUUUUAUGGAGAAAUGUCUUCCACUUAGAAAGCUCAUUCUGUUUAGAAGUCUGUAAUAUAUUAUCGAUGUCUGUUGUUUAUUUUGCGUUUAAUGACUCUUGCUUGCAUUUCUAUAGAUAUUAUGAAAGAUUCAAACCUCUAUUGAGUCCGAUAUCAGCAUCACCAUCCAACAUGAGUGGAUCUUCAAUCGAUGAUAUAAUUAUCAUAUGAUUUCUUCUCAAUAUUAAGUUGAAAUCUAAUUUAUAUGUUGAAAUUGUUGUAAAAAAUAAAAUUUAUUGUUAUAUUACUUUGAAAUAGUCUCAAAAUACUUGAUGUGCUGGUGAAUUAGAUGUAGAUACAAAAUCAGAUAUAUUUUUCCAUGAUAUCAAGUGAGGUCAAUAUCAAGUACAAUUUAACUAAGCUUAUCUAUGGAUACUUCCAAAAUUUAAUAUGCUUUUCUGAUUUGAUUGUUCACAAAAAUUUUGGAAAAUAAUCCAAGUUGUCGAAGUACAAGCCUGUUUGGAUUAAUAAUAGAAUUCUUAACUUUUUUCAUCAAUUUAUUGACUUGAAGAUCUUUUAAGGUUAUCAUUUUCCUACUUCAGUUUUAUUUUUCGGUUUAGUAUUUGAUUUAUGUCAUUUUGUGCUUAGUUUUCUUGGUAUCUGCGUGGAUAUGACUUCUUUUCGUUGUCUGCGGAUAGUGGGUCAAGAUAAGUUUCCUUUAAUGCUGUAUGCUUUUCAAUGCACCGCUUUCUCUUAUUAUUCAAGCACUGCUUGAAACAGUAUCAUAAAAUCUUUCAAUGCAAGUGUGCAGAAAUGCAAGUUUUGAGCCCAAGUAAGGACUGUAUUCGCUACUGUUAUAUAGUUUUGUCGUGCCAUGUUCCAAGUUAGCAGAGCCUCCAUCACAACUGUUUUUUGUUUUUGUGGAUAAUUUGCGAUCUGUACAGUGAAUACCUUUCGCUAUGAUCACGUGGACUAGGUGAAAUUUCUUUGGAUGGAAUGUGAAAAGUUUCAACUUCUAUUACACAUAUAGAUUUUACAUGUUCAAUUAAAGUAAUCUAAAUUGUCCGAGUUUAGUCCGAUUUCUUUUGUCUAUCAAUCUGUAUUUAAAGGUAACACUUCUCUGUAUUUUCUUAUGACAAUCUUUUCUGUGCAAUCACUCUAUAUUGGCACCUGGGUUAUUGUUAUAUUUUUCCUCCCUCGAAUAUGAAAUUUUGUUACCUUAUAUGAUAUUAUAUGUGAUAAAUACAAUAUAUUGUGGCCAUCCA